rnacentral:rRNA from 1 species
AUGCAGUGUUCGUGUAUUUAUUUACUUAAUGGUGGCUGCGGCGGCCGCCCCGCCGUGGGCUUUCACCGCCGGCUGUCGCUGGAGGCAAACUACCUAGAUGGUUUCGCGGUGGCGAUGGAGGCGCUAGAUACCUGCUUUCUCGUGUGCCUUCUUGUCGCCUCUGCUCUUCCAAUGAUGCGGAUCCAGGAACAGAGUCCAACCCUCUCCCCUUCUAAUUCUUCCUUCGUGUUCUGCACUUCUUCUGCUUGCUCUUUGACAAACAUCAAAUUAUGUUUUUAUGUCUCAAUGUGUUCGGUUUCAAUUCCCAUGUGA